UGUUAUCCCCUUGUCUACUCC
rnacentral:misc_RNA from 1 species